rnacentral:tRNA from 1 species
AGAGAUGCAGCUCAGUGGUAGAGCAUGUGCUUAGCAUGUAUGAAGCCCUUGGUUCAAUCCCUAGCACUGCCA